rnacentral:rRNA from 1 species
UACAGAGGUGGCAAGCGUUGUUCGGAAUUACUGGGCGUAAAGGGCGCGUAGGCGGCCUUCUAAGUCAGACGUGAAAUCCCCAGGCUUAACUUGGGAACUGCGUCUGAUACUGGGAGGCUUGAGUGCGGGAGAGGGAUGUGGAAUUCCAGGUGUAGCGGUGAAAUGCGUAGAUAUCAGGAGGAACACCUGCGGUGUAGACGGCUUUCUGGACCAUUGCUGACGCUGAGACACGAAAGCGUGGGUAGCAAACAGG